rnacentral:rRNA from 1 species
UACGUAGGAUGCAAGCGUUGUCCGGAAUUAUUGGGCGUAAAGAGCGCGCAAGCGGUCUGCCAAGUCAGAUGUGAAAGAGGCCGGCUUAACCGGCAAGGGUCAUUUGAAACUGACAGACUAGAGUGCAGCAGAGGAUAGCGGAAUUCCCGGUGUAGUGGUGAAAUGCGUAGAUAUCGGGAGGAACACCAGUGGCGAAGGCGGCUAUCUGGGCUGCAACUGACGCUGAGGCGCGAAGGCUAGGGUAGCAAACAGG